rnacentral:rRNA from 1 species
GACAGAGGGUGCAAACGUUGUUCGGAAUUACUGGGCGUAAAGCGCGUGUAAGCUGCUCUGCAAGUCGGGUGUGAAAGCCCUGGGCUCAACCUAGGAAGUGCACUCGAAACUGCAGAGCUGGAGUCCUGGAGAGGAAGGCGGAAUUCUCGGUGUAGAGGUGAAAUUCGUAGAUAUCGAGAGGAACACCGGUGGCGAAGGCGGCCUUCUGGACAGUGACUGACGCUGAGACGCGAAAGCGUGGGGAGCAAACAGG